AUCCUUUUGUAGUUUAUAAGUGUGAUGAUUGGGUGUUGGUGCAUGUGUCAUAUGUGCUCCUUAAACCUUGUCACAACACUGGCACGUUACCCUUCUGAUG
ensembl:snoRNA